AGUGAACGCUGGCGGUAGGCCUAACACAUGCAAGUCGAACGGCAGCACAUUAAGAGCUUGCUCUUACGGGUGGCGAGUGGCGGACGGGUGAGGAAUACAUCGGAAUCUACUUUUUCGUGGGGGAUAACGUAGGGAAACUUACGCUAAUACCGCAUACGACCUACGGUUGAAAGCAGGGGAUCUUCGGCCCUUGCGCGAUUGAAUGAGCCGAUGUCGGAUUAGCUAGUUGGCGGGUUAAAGGCCCACCAAGGCGACGAUCCGUAGCUGGUCUGAGAGGAUGAUCAGCCACACUGGAACUGAGACACGGUCAAGACUCCUACGGGAGGCAGCAGUGGGGAAUAUUGGACAAUGGGCGCAAGCAUGAUCCAGCCAUACCGCGUGGGUGAAGAAGGCCUUCGGGUUGUAAAGCCCUUUUGUUGGGAAAGAAAAGCAGCAGGUUAAUACCCCGCUGUUCUGACGGUACCCAAAGAAUAAGCACCGGCUAACUUCGUG
rnacentral:rRNA from 1 species